rnacentral:rRNA from 1 species
CCUACGGGGGGCUGCAGUGGGGAAUCUUCCACAAUGGACGAAAGCCUGACGCAGCAACGCCGCGUGAGUGAAGAAGGCUUUCGGAUCGUAAAACUCUGUUGUAAGGGAAGAACAAGUGCCGUACAAAUGGGGCGGUACCUUGACGGUACCGAGCCAGCAAGCCCCGGCUAACUACGGGCCAGCAGCCGCGGUGAUUCGUAGGGGGGAAGCGGUGACCGGGAAUGCUGGGCGUGAAGGGGGCGCAGGGGGUCUUUUAAGGCUGAAUGGGAAGGGCACGGGUUAACCGUGGAGGGGCAUUGGAAACUGGAGGGCUUGAGUAAAGAAGAGGAGAGUGGAAUUCCAGGUGUAGCGGUGAAAUGCGUAGAGAUCUGGAGGAACACCAGUGGCGAAGGCGACUCUCUGGUCUGAAACUGACGCUGAGGUGCGAAAGCGUGGGUAGCGAACAGGAUUAGAUACCCUUGUAGUC